GCAUCGGUGGUCUAACGGUUAUGAUGCGAUCUUCCCAUAAAGACGUUGAGAUCGCGAACCGGGUUCGACUCCCGGUCGAUGCA